UACGGAGGGUGCAAGCGUUAUCCGGAUUCACUGGGUUUAAAGGGUGCGUAGGUGGGUCUGAAAGUCAGUGGUGAAAUCUCCGGGCUUAACCUGGAAACUGCCAUUGAUACUUCAGGUCUUGAAUUUUCUGGAGGUUAGCGGAUAUGUCAUGUAGCGGUGAAAUGCUUAGAUAUGACAUAGAACACCAAAUUGCGAAGGCAGCUAACGUACGGGGAUAUUGACACUGGAGGCACGGAAAGCGUGGGGAGUCAAACAGG
rnacentral:rRNA from 1 species